rnacentral:RNase_P_RNA from 1 species
UAGUCGGGUAAUCGCGAGAGUAUUCGUAAGAACACUUUUGAGGAAAGUCCGUGCAUUCAAGGACAGACUUCCGGAGAAACUCCGGACGGUGUGAGCCGGUGGAUUAGGACCACAGAAAUGUAGACUGCCGAUGGAUUGAAUAAAUCACAGGCGAUGGUGCAACGGUGAGUUAAGAGCUUCACCAGCAAUAACGAGAGUUAUUGGCUAGGCAACCCCAAGUCGAAUGCAAGAUAAACUUGAAGGUUAUAAAGGCUGUCCGCCAACUUCAGACAUAUCGCUCGAGAAUUUGAGUAAUCAAAUUACUAGACAGAUGAUUACCUCUAAACAGAACACGGCUUAUGAGCUACUUU